AUUCAACUACACAAGCAGUCCUUCCAAGAUCCCAUCGUCUUCUUCCCUUCGCUCUUCUCCCUUCUGUACCUGUACACCGAGGAUUUGCAAGCUAGGCUCUGUACAAGCGCCCCCUCUCCCCUGAAACGACCGCGCCACCGACGAGCGCUUACAUGUAGCGCCGCCAUGCUGUAGGUCUGGGCAACAUUGACCCAGCCAUCGCAAAGCCGGCCAUCUUCUGCAGCUUAAAGUAUCCAGGGAAUGAAGAGCAGACAUUAAGGUCAAGAUCUGGAACAAGAAUAUAUUUUGUAAUGGCAGCAAGUACUGUCUGGAUGUUCAGCUGCAAGCUCAUUUAUAGUUACUUUGUCUCUUCUAGCCAGCCAAGAUAUCUCUGUCAGAUGAUGAGGGGAGCUGCUAAUUCAGGAUAUAUUGGCAUCUGAAACGUAAUGUAUCUCUUGUAGUAAAGUUAUUGACAACAGAACAUGGUGGACCUUCUGUUCAAGAGUUGUGUAGAACAAGCUAUCCUUAUGAAAUAUGUGCGUCAUAUAUAUGUACACAAUGAGUGAAUCCGACUGUGUAUACGACAGUGGUGUACAAGAAAUUUAAAUAUGGUACUGUCAAGUUUUCUACGAGACAAUUGUAGCCUGGAUGAAAUUACUUUAGUGCAUCUUGAAGCCUUAGUGCAACUUCUCCAGUGAUUAUGACACUUGAUAUGUAAUUAUUAACACUGUCAUACAAACACACCUCUUAAUUUUGUCAUAUAAAUAAG
rnacentral:rRNA from 1 species